rnacentral:lncRNA from 1 species
UUUAGGUUGAGUAGCCAUCAAGCUAGAUUUAGGGUAAAGUAGCCCCAAGAACUCUAACUAAAAUUGAACUCUUUUUGUAGAGUCCACAAAAUUUCAAUAUCUACAAUUACAUAUAAAUCAAUAUCUAUCGGUUUAUAGACUAGAAUGCCCCCAUCCAAUUAGCGGACGGGUUGAGCUAACCUUCUCUUCACCUCUGCUGCUUG